UUUACUUUUGUUAAUAAUAUGUCUUGAAAAUUUUUCUAUUUUCUGUUUUUAGUACAUAUAAUUAAAUUUAGUGGUCUUUUACCUCUCUGACCUCAGCCGCAGCAAUAUCUUACUUGAUACAUCCCCAAAGGCAAGGAAAUUAAAAGCAAAAAUGAACUAUUGGGACCUCAUGAAGAUAAAAAGCUUCUGCACAGCAAAGGAAACAAUCAACAAAACUAAAAGGCAACCAACAGAAUGGGAAAAGAUAUUUGCAAAUGACAUAUCGGACAAAGGGCUAGUAUCCAAAAUCUAUAAAGAGCUCACCAAAUUCCACACCCGGAAAACAAAUAACCCAGUGAAGAAAUGGGCAGGAAACAUGAAUAGACACUUCUUUAAAGAAGACAUCCAGAUGGCCAACAGGCACGUGAAAAGAUGCUCAACAUCGCUCCUCAUCAGGGAAAUAUAAAUCAAAACCACACUCAGAUAUCACCUCACACCAGUCAGAGUGGCCAAAAUGAACAAAUCAGGAGACUAGAGAUGCUGAUUUGGUGACAACAUCAGGAUACCAAGUGAACUUCUGACGGCAUUUGGAGACAAGGAGAAACACAGGCAUGGCACUCCGAGAACUCUUUUUAGUUCAUAGUCUAUCUCGUCAUUUCUGAGGGCUGUUGAGCCCUCAAACUUUCUCCCUCUGGACCUUUGGAACACAUGAGCCUGGACUUCAUUCAUUUCCUCCAGGUAUGGGUUAUCAGUAUGCUCUUGUUACUGUAUAUAUGUCUCCUGUGAUGAGGCUUUUUGGGGGUGACAGUGGGGUUCAUGGGGUCUGGAGCCGAUGACCAAGAAAGAAUUCUUGAAGACAUCUUUGGUGCAAAAAGGUGAUUUUAUUAAAGUAUGGGGACAGGACCCGUGGGCAGAAAAACUGCCCCUGGACCAUGAGGAGAGACUGGUUACAUACUAUGGGGUUGGGGCAGGUAAAUUCCAGGGGAAGUUUCCAGUGAGAUUUUCAUAGGCUAAAGAAGACUUACAGGAUAGUGGAGACCUAGCUAUUGUCAAGCCUGGUUGUUUUCCCUCUAGCAAAGCAUUAGCAUUAAGACAGUAAGGAGUUCCCGGAGAGGCUUUUUACUCUGCCUGCCUCAUGUAUUUGUCAAUGGGUUGCAGGUUAUAAGGAAACUUGGUUCUAUCUGCCAUUUCCUUCUGCCUUUGUUUUCCACAUCACUAUGGACAGGUGGUGGAGACUUAGGUCCUGCAGGACUAUGAUCUCUAUCAGUUAACCAUUUGUUUCUACCCUUUUCCUUUGUUCAUGGGCAGCCAGGAGUGCCCAAGGAAUAUCACACAUAUCCCAUCUGGUUGGGUGGGAGAGGGGUGUUUGUGGCCUGUCAGCUUGCCUUAUACUCCCUCAUCAUCCUGGAUGGUUUGAAGCUUUCCCUAGCUGUAAGGUUGAUGCCCUUACAUAGUAAAGAAACUAUUAUGCCCUUACGUAGUAAAGAAACUAUUAGAAAACAUGUUUCCAUUUGCAGUAUACCUUACAUAAUUUCCAGUGAUUUAGGCACCCACUUCACAGGGCAAAUCCUACAAGUCUUAAUAAUGGCCUUGCAAACAUUUUAGGAUUAUCAGUGUCCCUAGCACCCUAAGACAUCAGAUGAGGUUGAGAGAACUAAUAGGAUCCUCAAAGUUAAAAUCUCUAAGCUUGCUGAAAGAAACUGUUAUGGAAACUGGUCUGGAUCACCCAGCAGAAGAACCAAGCAGCACUCGGAGAUCUUGGAAGGCAGGAGGUUUAUUUUACACUGGUGCACACCAAGAGGAGAUCAUUUUCCAGAGGUCUGAGUCCAGAGCAUCAACAGAGGGGACAAUUUAUAGUAUGUUACUUCUGCAUUCCUCAUUAGUAGUGACAGUGGCAAGCGGGUAGGAAGGAAAUCCUGGAAGGGGAGUCUUCAGGCAGGGACUGGAAUUCCCUUAGCAGUCCUGUUGGCCAUCUUGUAACAGAUUUUUCCCUAUCAAAACUAUACUAUACUGCCUUGAGUAUUAUCUCUAGCUCUGCUGAAUAUUCACAGUACCCUCUUUGGGAAACAUAAAAUUCACGCCAUAUGAGAUAGUCACCCUUAGACCAUUGUGUGUUGGCAUACAACCUUCUGUUGGUCUUCUGUUAUCCCCUGCUAAUAUAGCCAGCUACUGUAGAUCUUUAAUGUCUUACGCUAAAGCCUAUCAUUAACAGGUUAAAGCUUUACC